GCACGACUCAGACCUGAGAGAAAAGAAGAGGGAAUUGGCAGAAAUAGAAGGCGGCAGGGACGCUCUCUCACUUGUUCCCUGCAGUCAUGCCUGCCAUUCCGCAACUCAAGCAGGAGAAAAACCCAGGAGUGGGGUGGCGUAGGCGGGGCCACCACAAGGAGCCCGUGCAUCAGGGGGCGCAGGCUGUUUCUGGAUCAUUCCACUGGGAAGGGGACAAAACCCAUCUUUUAUGACCCAUGUUCAGUUCUCAGUUGGAGUCAGGUCUUUGGCCUUGAUAGAUUUCAAUAUCCUGUGCAGCUGAUGUCUGACCCACGCAUCAAGAAUACAGCCUUCACACACCUGCCGUGAGAAGCCCUCUAUGACCUUCUGCAGAGGGAGGGAACUGCCUAAGAGCUGCUGAGUGCAGGAAUGCAGGGUGCUAAGAAGCAGGUACCCAGUUUGGGGUUAAAAUAUGUAUAAUAUAUCCAUUUGAAUACCCAUCAAUAAAUAUCAGUCAUGCUCACUUUUGGGUGCUGGGGGUUAUUGGAGAUAUUGAUUCAUUUGUUUUAUGAGUGG
rnacentral:lncRNA from 1 species